GUAUGUUUCCUGUCAUCUGAUUACAGAUCUGACUGGACGUGAUGAAGAUUCAGGCAAACAAUUAGGCCCAGUGAUAGGAGUAGGGUCAGUGGUGGGGUUAAUAGUGCUUACUGUUCCUGUUAUCAUUCUGAUGAGGAUGAAGAGGAAGAAGAAGAAGAGUAUGACACCGAAUGUGUCAAGAGAAGACGAUGACAUUCAAGAGCCACUACGAGAAGGACCAGACAUUUAAAAAUGCCACAUUUAGAAACUUGUAGCUGAUGUGAAAUAUGAAGGUUAACUUGUGCCACUUUAUGUGCUCAGACUUCAGUGUUUGAACCAAAGAUUUUAAAUGAGAGGCUGACGUGCAAACAAACAUGUGUUUCGGUUCGUUUCAGACCAGUCUGAAGUCCCCACUGAAUGACCAAACUGGGAGCUGAAAGAGACAACCACUUUAAAGGACUUCGGCCACAUGAGGCGCCUCACCAAAAAGACUCGGACUGCUCAUCACUCACCUCCAUCCUAAAGAGCUUUGUCUCCGUUGUGCAUGUUGUUAGCUGCUCCCAUCCCUCAAGUCAAAGUGAAAGCAUAAUUCAAUAAAAUGUGAACCUUUCAUUUAUAAAUCUGUGCCACCACUAACUGAUGUUGUCUACUCGCCACCUCCUGGCCUGCUUAUGCUUUAUCACGUCACAUUAAUGGCACUUAUGUUGUCUGCUCCGUGUCAUGUUUAUAUCAAAUUAUUUCUAUAUACAGUAGUAAAUAGUUUGCAUUGAGAUUAUUAUUGACUUAAAUGGUCAGGUGCUUUUUCUCAUGUGGUAAACGUUUAUUCUUCACGUGCUUUGGACUUCAGGACCUGCCAUAGUUUGCUACGUGACAAUACUAAUAAAAGUGCAUCUUUUAAAAUGAAAAAGGAAGAAGCCGGUGAGAGUAACAGAAAGUAGAUGACCACAAUCAGCGUCGCAGCCCAUUUCUCGUGUUGGGAUUUACGUACACACGCGUGGAUUAAAGUGGAACGAGGCGAUGGGAAGAAGACAUGGGCCAUCCUACCUGUGGAUCUGUCUCAGUGGCGCCUCCAGUGUCAAGGACAGAAAAAAUAAAUGUGAGUGAGUCACAUGGAUUGGCCUUGAGCUCCUAUGGAGUGGCCUGUGGCAGGACUUUAAUUGUGCUUUGCCAAGUCGUAAUGAAGGAUCAGCCAGAUUAAGAUGGCAUUUAUUGGGUAACAUC